CGUAUCACCGCUCUUCGAGAACACUUCUCUUAAAGCCGCGCCUACUAUCGGAAUACUGGGUCUCGAAAUCUCGAGCGAUUGCCAAUUCCGUGGCCAUCUGGAGGGCAAAGCCAAAUUGGCUUCGAAGAAGCUGGGCGUCAUCAAUAGAGCACGGCAAUACUUCAAGCCGGCCCACAUUCUAGCGCUCUACAAAGCGCAGAUCCGGCCACACAUAGAGUAUUGCUGUCAUUUCUGGUCUGGCGCACCCCAGUAUCAGCUCGAUCCAUUUGACCGCGUGUAACGCAGAGCAGCUCGAAUUGCCGGCGACCCAGUGCUCUGCGAACGGCUGGAUCACUUGGCGUUGCGUAGAGACGUCGCUUCAUUGUGUGUCUUCUACCGCAUUUAUUACGGGGAGUGUUCCAAAGAGCUGUUUAACCUGAUUCCUGCCGCCGAAUUCCACCUUCGCCACGCCACGACACGCCACAAGUAAGGAUAUCAUCCCCACCAUCUGGAUGUGUGGCGAUCCUCCACAGUGCGGUUUUCAAGGAGCUUUCUUCCUCGUUCUACAACGCUGUGGAAUGAGCUUCCUUGUGCGGUGUUUCCGGGACGUUACGCAAAAAAAGCGCGUACACCUUCCUUAAAGGCCGGCAACGCUCUUGUGAUUCCUCUGGUGUUGCAAGAGAAUGUGGGCGGCGGUGAUCACUUAACACCAGGUGACCCGUACGCUCGUUUGUCCUCCUACUCCAUAAAAAAAAAUGCUGGUAAUGAAGGUAGCCGUCUGCCAGAGUUGCGUCGAGGAAGCUUUGAACUCAUCCAGUUCAGCAACAGCUUAAGCAGCUCGAACAAACAUUAGGAGAUCAGCAAGAAGAAACAAAUCAGGACAUUGAAAUAAAUUAAAUCCAGUUUGGUUGUAUACUUGUGCAUAGAAAUCAACAAUUAUCUGCUUGUUUCAUUAAACACUGAAUAUGAAUA